rnacentral:rRNA from 1 species
UUGAAGAGAGAGUUCAAAAGGGCGUGAAACCGCUUAGAAUAAAACGGACGGAGCCGUCGGUGUCCUUCGGGAAUCAGACGUACGGUCUGCCAGUGUAUUCUGGUCCGGAGCGAAAGUCUGGACUGGGUACUAGAAAAGAGCGGUCGUGCGGCGCAUUUUCCGAAGGUUAGCACUGCGACCGAUACGAAUAGGCCAGCGGAGCGAUGGAACUGAGGUCGAGACCCGCGAGGGACUCGCUACCAGUACUGUCGCGCAUAACCGCUGGACCGUAGUAAGUAUCGAGCGCC